rnacentral:rRNA from 1 species
AUACGGGGGGGGCAAGCGUUGUUCGGAAUUACUGGGCGUAAAGGGCUCGUAGGUGGCCAACUCAGUCGGACGUGAAAUCCCUCGGCUUAACCGGGGAACUGCGUCCGAUACUGGAUGGCUUGAGAUCGGGAGAGGGAUGCGGAAUUCCAGGUGUAGCGGUGAAAUGCGUAGAUAUCUGGAGGAACACCGGUGGCGAAGGCGGCAUCCUGGACCGACACUGACGCUGAGGAGCGAAAGCCAGGGGAGCAAACGGGA